rnacentral:lncRNA from 1 species
GGCAGAGAAUGGACUUGGACCCCCCAAAAUUCCAUCUAUGGGGCAGGAAAUGGAACCUGAGACCCCCAAGUUCCACUUGUGGGGCAGAGAACGAGACUUGGACCCCCCAAAAUUCACUUGUGGGGCACCUGGAGACCCCCAAGUUCCACUUGUGGGGCAGAGAACGAGACUUGGACCCCCUAAAAUUCCAUCUAUGGGGCAGAGAAUGGACUUGGAGACCCCCAAAAUUCACUUGGGGGGCAGAGAAUGGAUUCCAGUGACCCCCAAGUUCCACUUGUGGGGCAGAAACGGAGCCUGAGAACCCAAAGUUCACUUGUGGGGCAGAGAACGGACUUGGAGACGCCCAAAAUUUCACUUGUGGGGCAGAGACGGAGCCCGAGACCCCCAAGUUCCACUUGUGGGGCAGGAAAUGGACUUGGACCCCCCAAAUUCCAUCUAUGGGGCAGAGAAUGGACUUGGAGACCCCCAAAAUUCACUUGUGGGGCACCUGGAGACCCCCAAGUUCCACUUGUGGGGCAGAGAAUGGACUUGGACCCCCCAAAAUUCCAUCUAUGGGGCAGAAACGGAGCCUGAGACCCCAAAUUUCCACUUGUGGGGCAGAAACGGAUUCCAGCGACCCCCAAGUUCACUUGUGGGGCAGAAAAGGAACUUUGAGACCCCAAACUCCACUUAUGGGGCAGGAAAUCGACUCCAGCGACCCCCAAAUUUCACUUGUGGGGCAGAAACGGAUUCCAGCGACCCCCAAGUUCACUUAUGGGGCAGAAAAAUCGACUCCAGUGACCCC